UAAUAACAGAAGGCCUUCAGUGCUCAGUU
rnacentral:piRNA from 1 species